rnacentral:sRNA from 1 species
UCCUCGAUCCUGGAACUGCGCCGGUGCA